UCGGGAAUUUUGGGCAAUGGGCGAAAGCCUGACCCAGCAACGCCGCGUGAAGGAUGAAGUAUUUCGGUAUGUAAACUUCGAAAGAAUAGGAAGGAUAAAUGACGGUACUAUUUAUAAGGUCCGGCUAACUACGUGCCAGCAGCCGCGGUAAUACGUAGGGACCAAGCGUUGUUCGGAUUUACUGGGCGUAAAGGGCGCGUAGGCGGCAAUUCAAGUCAUCUGUGAAAUCUCCGGGCUUAACUCGGAACGGUCAGAUGAUACUGCUUUGCUAGAGUGCAGAAGGGGCAAUCGGAAUUCUUGGUGUAGCGGUGAAAUGCGUAGAUAUCAAGAGGAACACCUGAGGUGAAGACGGGUUGCUGGGCUGACACUGACGCUGAGGCGCGAAAGCCAGGGGAGCAAACGGGAUUAGAUACCCUAGUAGUCCCUGAGCGGGCUGGCAAGGCGCAU
rnacentral:rRNA from 1 species